GAUCUGGCUCAGAUUGAACGCUGGCGGCAGGCCUAACACAUGCAAGUCGAACGGUAACAGGAAGCAGCUUGCUGCUUUGCUGACGAGUGGCGGACGGGUGAGUAAUGUCUGGGAAACUGCCUGAUGGAGGGGGAUAACUACUGGAAACGGUAGCUAAUACCGCAUAACGUUGCAAGACCAAAGAGGGGGACCUUAGGGCCUCUUGCCAUCGGAUGUACCCAGAUGGGAUUAGCUAGUAGGUGGGG
rnacentral:rRNA from 1 species